CUUUCUUCUUCCUCACUUUACAGCAAUUACUCAAACUCACUAACUAUCUCAUAAGUUUGCAAGGCAAAAACCAAUUUUAGCUUGCAUUUUUGCACAUUAAUUCAUCAUGGUUCGUCAGUUGAGAAGCUUUACACUAACAAGCCUAGAUCAAGUGCUGAAUUCCAUGUCAAGCAUAUUUAGAUCCUCCUUCAGAGCGCGUGGCGGACCAAGAAGGUCGGAACUCAGCAAAGGGCCUGGUCCACAGAUUAAUAGCAUUGGAACAAAGAAUGAGAUCAAGGGUUUGGCGAACAACUCAAAAAAUUGAGAUUCAGAAUGAUGACAAUGGAUUGGAGCUAUCUAUAGUACUAAUACAAGCAGUGAGCAAUAACAAAAUAUAGCUACUGUAUGAAAAUUUUGUGAAAUUAUAAUUUAGAGUAUUUGAGUGUUUGUCUUGGUUAGUGAUUGUAUAACGAAUCAUGUUGUAUGUUGCUUGUAACUGUCUUUUUUCAUUUUAAAAAUAAAUAAAAAUCAAAGUAGAUUAAAACUAAGCAUGAUUCAA